rnacentral:rRNA from 1 species
UACAGAGGUGGCAAGCGUUGUUCGGAUUUAUUGGGCGUAAAGGGUCCGUAGGCGGAUCGGAAAGUCGGAUGUGAAAUCCUACAGCUUAACUGUAGAACUGCAUUCGAAACUCCCGAUCUUGAGUGUGAGAGGGGUGAAGGGAAUUCCCGGUGCAAGGGUGAAAUCUGCAGAGAUCGGGAAGAACACCAGUCGCGAAGGCGCUUCACUGGCUCACUACUAACGCUGAGGGACGAAAGCUAGGGGAGCAAACGGG